rnacentral:rRNA from 1 species
AUUGAACGCUGGCGGCAGGCCUAACACAUGCAAGUCGAACGAGUGGCGGACGGGUGAGUAAUGUCUGGGAAACUGCCUGUUGGAGGGGGAUAACUACUGGAAACGGUAGCUAAUACCGCAUACCAUCAGCUUUGCCCAGAUGGGAUUGGCUUGUUGGGGGGGUAACGGCUCACCAAGGCGACGAUCCCUAGCUGGUCUGAGAGGAGGACCAGCAACACGGGAACUGAGACACGGUCCAGACGCCUACGGGAGGCAGCAGUGGGGAAUAUUGCAAAAUGGGCGCAAGCCUGAUGCAGCCAUGCCGCGUGUAUGAAGAAGGCCUUCGGGUUGUAAAGUACUUUCAGCGGGGAGGCGUUACCCGCAGAAGAAGCACCGGCUAACUCCGUGCCAGCAGCCGCGGUAAUUC